UUUCCCAUUUGAGAGCCUCAGGUACUAAUGGAAUUUCUUUUCUGAGUUCCAGGUUGUCUCAUGUCUGGAAAAUUAAGAGUCAAAAAGUCUCGUGGCCUUUCUGCCCUUUGCACUGAAAGGAAAAUGAACUACCUGGUCAUAGGAUGAAUGUUGUCUUUGGUCACCAUCAAGAUCCUGACCUGCCUAACUGAUGUGACACAGGGAAAGAGGUCUAUUUAUUUGCCCUCCUGGAAAAGAGAAUGUAUCUCGAGACGUCAAAAUAUUUUGUUCGCCUUCAUUCGAUUGCAAAAGGAGCCUUAGGUGAGGCACCUUGGAUGGCAGCUUCAGUUCACACUCCUGACACCCUGCUUCACUCUGAAGGCAACAUCCUGAAGCUGGGCACCUGAACAAGCUCAAGAGGUGUAUUAUUAUACCAUACAAGUAGUGGGAGGAGGUGAGAAACUAAACCCCCUUUUUAAUUCA
rnacentral:lncRNA from 1 species